GUGAAACAAAUGUUCAUUGCGGACAAUACGAAGACGAUGAUUGGUACAAUCAGAUAUUUUCUGGCUCCGCCACUGGUUCGUACUCGUACCACACCAUGCGAAGGUUAUGGGCAAGGUGGUUGAGCUUGAUGCCACAGAGUUGGAGGUUAUUGCUUUGGCGAUGCCGAAGGCCGUUCACGCGAAGAGGAGAUGUGCCUGGUGACGAGAAGUCUUAGACCAUCGGCUGCAAGGUUGCACCUUGGAGCUCAAAAUUUGGUGUCUUCGCAUUGAAGGAUCCAAUCCAUCGACUUUGGAGUUUGAACAUGUCACUUGUGAUGGGGAGAGGAAGAGAUGACUUGCAUACACUGGACAAUGAGUGUGUUAGCAGCGUGGUGGCUCGGGACUGUACAAGUUGUAGUAGCUCCUUCCCUUAUACAUGUUUUGUUUUGAUUGGAAGCACCUUAUAAUUUAGCUAAUAUAUGGAUUUCAUUUACAUCGUCUGUCCAAGUAUGCGAGGCCCAUGAGAUGGGCAUUAAUCACUUCUGUUUUUUCUCAGUAUUUUGAUAGGGGACCUAUGUAUAUGGAAGGAGUUAGUAUCAUGUAAAUCGUAUCACCAAUUUAAGGAUCCUCAUGUUUUCUUACUUUUUAA